CUACGGGAGGCAGCAGUGGGGAAUCUUGGACAAUGGGGGCAACCCUGAUCCAGCGACGCCGCGUGGGUGACGAAGGCCUUCGGGUUGUAAAGCCCUUUUCUCGGGGAAGAUGAUGACGGUACCCGAGGAAUAAGCACCGGCUAACUCCGUGCCAGCAGCCGCGGUAAGACGGAGGGUGCUAGCGUUGUUCGGAAUUACUGGGCGUAAAGGGCGUGUAGGCGGCCCGAGAAGUCGGAUGUGAAAGCCCGGGGCUCAACCCCGGAACGGCAUUCGAAACUUUUGGGCUCGAGAACGGAAGAGGGGAGUGGAAUACCCAGUGUAGAGGUGAAAUUCGUAGAUAUUGGGUGGAACACCGGUGGCGAAAGCGGCUCUCUGGUCCGGAUCUGACGCUGAGGUGCGAAAGUGUGGGGAGCAAACAGGAUUAGAAACCCCUGUAGUCC
rnacentral:rRNA from 1 species